rnacentral:rRNA from 1 species
UACGUAGGGGGCUAGCGUUGUCCGGAAUCAUUGGGCGUAAAGAGCGUGUAGGCGGUCCGGUAAGUCCGUUGUGAAAGUCAGGGGCUCAACCCUUGAAUGCCGGCGGAUACUGUCGGGCUAGAGUCCGGAAGAGGCAAGUGGAAUUCCCGGUGUAGCGGUGAAAUGCGCAGAUAUCAGGAGGAACACCGGUGGCGAAGGCGGUUCUCUGGGCCUUACCUGACGCUGAGGAGCGAAAGCGUGGGGAGCGAACAGG